GAUGAACGCUAGCUACAGGCUUAACACAUGCAAGUCGAGGGGCAGCGCAGUGUAGCAAUACAUGGGCGGCGACCGGCGCACGGGUGCGUAACGCGUAUCCAACCUUCCCGUUACUCAGGGAUAGCCUUCCGAAAGGGAGAUUAAUACCUGAUGGUGUUCAAAUUCCGCAUGUUAUUUGAACUAAAGAUUUAUCGGUAACGGAUGGGGAUGCGUGACAUUAGGUAGAUGGCGGGAUAACGGCCCACCAUGCCUACGAUGUCUAGGGGUUCUGAGAGGAAGGUCCCCCACACUGGAACUGAGACACGGUCCAGACUCCUACGGGAGGCAGCAGUGAGGAAUAUUGGUCAAUGGCCGGAAGGCUGAACCAGCCAAGUAGCGUGAAGGAUGAAGGUUCUAUGGAUUGUAAACUUCUUUUAUACGGGAAUAACACCAUCUACGUGUAGAUGUCUGCAUGUACCGUAUGAAUAAGCAUCGGCUAACUCCGUGCCAGCAG
rnacentral:rRNA from 1 species